UUUUGGGUUUGCUUGAAGAUCGGGAAAGUUGAGAUCUAUAGAAAACAACUUUUUUUUUUUUUUGAAACACCUAUAGAAGUGAUUUUACAUAAGAAAGCAUCUCGAUGCUAUCUAAUGAUUAAUACGAAACUGUUAUGUCGAUUAUUUUAGGAGGCUGAAUUAGAAAGAAAAAUGUUUAUAAAGAACACAAAAUGGAGCUUUUAACUAAUUAAUGCUACCAAUCUAAACUAAUAUGAGGGGCUUGAAUUUGGUUAUAGCUCCUCAGCUACUAAGAAACGAUGACACUGAUGGAAGAAAACAAAGAAAAUACAAGAGGUCCAUUGAUUUAAAUAAAGCAUCAAGAAAACUACUGAAAAUACGAUCCAUGUUUUCAUCUCGACGAAACUAGUCGAAGUUAAAAAAAUAAAAUAAAAAAGUGGUUGGUUACCUUUUUAUUAUAAAGUAGUCAUAUAGGUAAAAAAAAAAGCCGAGAAACCUCUUUGAAAUCAUCUCAUCCCCACUGGACCCACAAUCAACCAUUAUCACCUAUUCCGUCCCCAUUUGCACCUAAGAGCAUCAUUAUCCAUAGUUUCUUAAAAAGAGUUAAAAAUUAAGAAACUGUUCUUAAAAAUACUAUUUUUUAGUUAAAAAUUAAAAACAAAUUUUUAUAUUUCCCUAAAAACCUUGUCCUAAAAAACUCUGAUAAUGAUGCUCUAACGAUUUCAAAUUAAAAACACAAAGAAAUGUCAACAAUUUCUAAAGAAAAAGAAAAAAAAAACUUAAAGAGCUUCAUCUUAUUAUAUAAAGCUUGGUUCUUCAAAGUUGCUAAUUAACAUGAUCGCGAC
rnacentral:lncRNA from 1 species